rnacentral:tRNA from 1 species
GCCUCGGUAGUGUAACGGGUCAGCACGGCAGACCGGAUAUCUGUAGGCCCGGGUUCGAGUCCCGCCUGAGGCU